AUUGAACGCUGGCGGCAUGCCUUACACAUGCAAGUCGAACGGCAGCGGACCUUCGGGUGCCGGCGAGUGGCGAACGGGUGAGUAAAGUAUCGGAACGUACCUUUCAGUGGGGGAUAACGUAGCGAAAGUUACGCUAAUACCGCAUAUUCUCUGAGGAGGAAAGCAGGGGACCUUCGGGCCUUGCGCUGAUGGAGCGGCCGAUAUCAGAUUAGCUAGUUGGUGGGGUAAAGGCCUACCAAGGCGACGAUCUGUAGCGGGUCUGAGAGGAUGAUCCGCCACACUGGGACUGAGACACGGCCCAGACUCCUACGGGAGGCAGCAGUGGGGAAUUUUGGACAAUGGGCGAAAGCCUGAUCCAGCCAUGCCGCGUGAGUGAAGAAGGCC
rnacentral:rRNA from 1 species